rnacentral:lncRNA from 1 species
AUGGUGAAUGUUCUUCAAACCCACUGGACUUUGUGUAAGAAGCAUGGUUGGCACCAACCCCACAGAGUGACAUGGUACAAGAAGGGAAAAGAUGAUCUGUAUGCCAAGGGAAAGUGGCUUAAUGGCAGGAAGGGGUGGCUAUGUAGGCAGACCAAGCCAAUCUUCUGGAAAAAGGCUAAAACUACAAACGAGAUUGUGCUAAAGCUUAAGUGUUGGGCCCAACUGCAGAUCUAGGAGAAUGCUGGCUACUAGAGAUACAAGUAUUUUUAACUGGGAAGGGAUAAAAGGAGAAAAGGCCAAGUGAUCCAGUUCUUAG